GUCCACGCAGUAAACGAUGACAGCUAUGUGUUGGGUUGUUUAAACUCAGUGCUGAAGCUAACGCUAUAAGCUGUCCGCCUGAGGAGUACGAUCGCAAGAUUAAAACUCAAAGGAAUUGACGGGGACCCGCACAAGCGGUGGAACAUGUGGUUUAAUUCGAAGGUACGCGAAGAACCUUACCGGCUCUUGACAUAUUGGUUGUAUCCCUAAGAAACUAGGGAGUCAUUUAGGUGGACCAAUACAGGUGCUGCAUGGCCGUCGU
rnacentral:rRNA from 1 species